rnacentral:rRNA from 1 species
AUACAUGCAGUAGAACGCUGAAGAGAGGAGCUUGCUCUUCUUGGAUGAGUUGCGAACGGGUGAGUAACGCGUAGGUAACCUGCCUUGUAGCGGGGGAUAACUAUUGGAAACGAUAGCUAAUACCGCAUAACAAUGGAUGACACAUGUCAUUUAUUUGAAAGGGGCAAUUGUUCCACUACAAGAUGGACCUGCGUUGUAUUAGCUAGUAGGUGAGGUAAUGGCUCACCUAGGCGACGAUACAUAGCCGACCUGAGAGGGUGAUCGGCCACACUGGGACUGAGACACGGCCCAGACUCCUACGGGAGGCAGCAGUAGGGAAUCUUCGGCAAUGGGGGCAACCCUGACCGAGCAACGCCGCGUGAGUGAAGAAGGUUUUCGGAUCGUAAAGCUCUGUUGUAAGUCAAGAACGGGUGUGAGAGUGGAAAGUUCACACUGUGACGGUAGCUUACCAGAAAGGGACGGCUAACUACGUGCCAGCAGCCGCGGUAAUACGUAGGUCCCGAGCGUUGUCCGGAUUUAUUGGGCGUAAAGCGAGCGCAGGCGGUUUGAUAAGUCUGAAGUUAAAGGCUGUGGCUCAACCAUAGUUCGCUUUGGAAACUGUCAAACUUGAGUGCAGAAGGGGAGAGUGGAAUUCCAUGUGUAGCGGUGAAAUGCGUAGAUAUAUGGAGGAACACCGGUGGCGAAAGCGGCUCUCUGGUCUGUAACUGACGCUGAGGCUCGAAAGCGUGGGGAGCGAACAGGAUUAGAUACCCUGGUAGUCCACGCCGUAAACGAUGAGUGCUAGGUGUUGGAUCCUUUCCGGGAUUCAGUGCCGCAGCUAACGCAUUAAGCACUCCGCCUGGGGAGUACGACCGCAAGGUUGAAACUCAAAGGAAUUGACGGGGGCCCGCACAAGCGGUGGAGCAUGUGGUUUAAUUCGAAGCAACGCGAAGAACCUUACCAGGUCUUGACAUCCCGAUGCUAUUUCUAGAGAUAGAAAGUUACUUCGGUACAUCGGUGACAGGUGGUGCAUGGUUGUCGUCAGCUCGUGUCGUGAGAUGUUGGGUUAAGUCCCGCAACGAGCGCAACCCCUAUUGUUAGUUGCCAUCAUUCAGUUGGGCACUCUAGCGAGACUGCCGGUAUAAACCG